CCUGACAUUUACUCCCUAGCAGGACACUAUUUGGGUUUCUACCUGAAUCUAUGCUCCCUGAAGUGCAAUUCUUUGAUCCCAAAUAUAUUCUUUGCUUCUUAAACUGGUUUCUGUUUUUGAACGUUGACACGUGGUGUCAGAAAGCAGGAUCUUCAGUGAUCUCACCUUCGGGGACCAGAGUCUCCUGGAAACGGCUUUGGUACCAACACGAGCCAUGUUGCGUGCUCAUCCGCUCCCAGGGACAGCUGACUCCUCUGGUUCUGGGACCUCUCAGGCUUGAACCUCCCCUCCUUUUGGUUAAGGUCUUUGCCUUUCUUCAGGAUUCUAGGGCAAGAGCCCAAUCUGGGGUCAAGUGACCAGGAGACAAGUAUCUCCAAGCUGGCUCACAGCUAUUGUCCUCUGAAAGAGUUUCCCUGUUUGGGCCACCUUAUGGCAGCUCAUGGCUAUUGCCAUCUGGAAGGAUUUCUCUGUUUGAACCAGCUACAGCUGUUGCUGUUGGAGGAUUUAUGCCCCAUCUGCUCCAUGUUAUAAAAACACCACUCAGAUUAUGGUUGCUCAGUGCUUUAAAAUGAUUGCUAAGGCUUAUGAACCUUCACCUGAGAAACUUCAAGGAACUAUAGGCAAUGUUUGCCCUUAAAGGAACCUGACGGUGGGACAUGACAUACCAGCAAUGAGCCUUCCUGGUGACAAGGGACCAACAACGCAUUGAUGGCUGAUCAGCAAGGCUUUCUAAUAGUCGAUCAGCAAUGUUUUCAAAUGGUUGAUCAGAAUGUUUUCAAAGAAAGACCACGAUCAAAAUGGAGAAGUGUCAAAAUUGACUCUAGUGGAGCCAUUUUAAAAUGGAGUUGGGGCCGGCCCCGUGGCUUAGUGGUUAAGUAUGCGCGCUCUGCUGCUGGCGGCCCGGGUUCGGAUUCCGGGCGCGCACCGAUGCACUGCCUCUCCGGCCAUGCUGAGGCCGCGCCCCACAUACAGCAACUAGCAGGAUGUGCAGCUAUGACAUACAACUAUCAACUGGGGCUUUGGGGGAAAAAUAAAUAAAUAAAAAUAAAAAUAAAAUAAAAUGGAGUUGGAGCUGGCUCUCCAGAGAAACUGCCUUGCUGUCUUGAACCUUGGACUGGGCCAAACCUUUGGACUGGGCCAAACCGGCAGUAGAUUUACAAGUAAUUGUUUGAGACGUCAGCAGGAGAAUGGACAUCCUUGUCACAAAGACUGAGGAUUGUGGACCUUCUGAAGAUAGAAUCAAAAGUCAAUGUUUAGCCAAGACUAGCUCUCUGCCUCCAACUCCAAUCAAAACUCUUUGUACUACAACCUCCCUUCUGUGCCUUUAAAAACCCCUGAUUUUUACUCCCUAGUAGGACACUUUUUGGGUUUCUACCUGAAUCUGUGCUCUCCAAAUUGCAAUUCUUUGAUCCCAAAUAAACGCUUUACCUCUUAAGCUGGUUUCUGCUUCUGCAGGUUAACAAGUUCAUAGUUCAGUAAAGUAAACGCUAAAUUUAUUUCUUAAAAUCUAUACUUCUCAUUUUCUUUUAAGACGUUAUUUGAGAUAAGAAACUUAUCAUCUAGUCCACAACCAGGUGCAGAGACACUGCCCAAGAGAUGUGCUGUUCAAGCAGACGUUUUAAAUUGUGGGAACAAAUGUUUGCUGUUUUUGCCUUUUUUUUUUCUUUUUACUUGUCCCCGAGACAAGAUCAUUACAAGACUUAACUGAAAGUUUGAUUGCCCUGCUUGCCUUAUGUCAAUUGUCAAUACAGAAUAAAUAAAAAGUAAUCAAAAUGUUUUUUAUGGCUACAAAAAUA